rnacentral:rRNA from 1 species
CCUACGGGUGGCUGCAGUGGGGGAUAUUGCACAAUGGGGGGAACCCUGAUGCAGCGACGCCGCGUGGGUGAAGAAGCGCCUCGGCGCGUAAAGCCCUGUCAGCAGGGAAGAAAAUGACGGUACCUGAAGAAGAAGCCCCGGCUAACUACGUGCCAGCAGCCGCGGUAAUACGUAGGGGGCAAGCGUUAUCCGGAUUUACUGGGCGUAAAGAGAGCGUAGGCGGCACUACAAGUCUCAUGUGAAAUACCCGGGCUUAACUUGGGGGUUGCAUGGGAAACUGUAGAGCUUGAGUACAGGAGAGGCAAGCGGAAUUCCUAGUGUAGCGGUGAAAUGCAUAGAUAUUAGGAGGAACACCAGUGGCGAAGGCGGCUUGCUGGACUGAAACUGACGCUGAGGCUCGAAAGCGUGGGGAGCAAACAGGAUUAGAUACCCGUGUAGUC